UACGAAGGGGGCUAGCGUUGUUCGGAUUCACUGGGCGUAAAGGGUGCGUAGGUGGUGAGGUAAGUCGGAUGUGAAAUCUCCGAGCUCAACUCGGAAAUGGCAUUGGAAACUACCUUGCUCGAGGGUUGGAGGGGGGACUGGAAUGCUUGGUGUAGCAGUGAAAUGCGUAGAGAUCGGGAGGAACAUCUGUGGCGAAGGCGGCCACCUGGACCAACACUGACACUGAGGCACGAAAGCGUGGGGAGCAA
rnacentral:rRNA from 1 species